GACCAGCCCAGUGUGUUGGUAAAAGCAGGCAAUUUAUAUACAGGUUGUGAGGUUAUGUCUUCUAAUUCCUAGUCAUCUGCAAUGUCAAUUUAACAAGAGAGUCUUUUCUAGGUAGGGAAUUCUUGGCUUGUGGGAAAUCAGGCUGGCUUCUCGGGUUAUAACCUCCGGUGUCCCUUCGGUUCCUUUGCGGUGGUCGCUGUUUGCUUGGUACCCAGUCCGCAAUAGAGUUGUCGUGAAGUUGGCCAGUGCAGGCCAGCUGUGAGGAUGUCUCCGACUGUGUGAGGUCCUGCAGGCGAGGUGAGUGGGUGAGAACACCAGGAGUGGCUGCUGAUGGUAUCCGAGAGGUCUAGAUCAGUGGUUUUGUGUGGUGUCACUG